rnacentral:rRNA from 1 species
AAAGGUAGCAUAAUAAUUUGCCUYUUAAUUAGGGGAUAGGAUGAAUGGAUAGACGUAUACUAACUGUCUCAAUUUCACUAUAGUGAAAUUAAUCUUUAAGUGAAAAAGCUUAAAUAAAUAAAAAAGACAAGAAGACCCUGGUGAAUUUAAAAUUAAUUUUCUUGAAUUUCAAAAGUAUUUUUUGGUUGGGGCAACCGAAAAGGAAAAAUAUCCUUUUCUUCUUCAAAUUUUGAUAAAACAAGUACCGUUAAUAACGACAAAAAGAUAAAAUUACCACAGGGAUAACAGCAUAAUUUUUUUAUAAAGUUCUUAUUUAUAAAAAAGUUUAUGACCUCGAUGUUGGACUAAAGUAACUUUUGGGUGCAGAAGCUCAAAAAGUUAGACUGUUCGUCUAUUAAAACUUUACAU